UACGUAGGCAGCGAGCGUUGUUCGGAGUUACUGGGCGUAAAGGGUGUGUAGGCGGUUUUCUAAGUCUGGUGUGAAAUCUCCCGGCUCAACUGGGAGGGUGCGCCGAAAACUGGAAGGCUAGAGUGCGGGAUGGGUAAGUGGAAUUCCUGGUGUAGCAGUGAAAUGCGUAGAUAUCAGGAGGAACACCUGUGGUGUAGACGGCUUACUGGACCGCAACUGACGCUGAAACACGAAAGCGUGGGGAGCAAACAGG
rnacentral:rRNA from 1 species